rnacentral:lncRNA from 1 species
UGGCCAUUCCCCUGUGCGCCCCGGUGCAGGAGCGCGGAGGCAGGAUGGCAUGUACGGCAUCGUACGCCAGCGGUCGCCCUGCGUGUGUCCAUGUCCCCAGCGGAGGCGGCAGCUCCUGGGUGCGGCAUUGAAUCAAGAAGUGUGAGUUUUAGUGAGACUGUAAUAUGGAGAUGUCUAAACAGACAGUAACACCCUGAAUCAGUUGAUUCUGAGGCAUUUUUCUAGACGAAAAGCUUGCAAGUGCACGCUCUCUAAUCUCUACCUCUGCGCAUCCAUGUGAGGGCAGAAAAGAAGGAUUAAGAGGGAUAUGGGGUUGUUCGCCGUACCUGCACAUUAGAUGGAUGUGCCGAUGUGGUGGACGGCGGCUACACGCUUGACGGCCACAGGAUGGUGCAGGAUCAACCGCGGCUGCUCCUUCGUCGCUCCUUCGUCGCUGGCGAACACAGGAUGGUGCAGGAUGAUAGGACGAACAAGAGGACGAAGCCAUGGUGGGGCUCCUUCGUCGCUCGCCCCAAGGGCCGCCGCAUCAGGAAGGCUAGAGACGGCAGAUCCGUGGUGCCGCGUCGGCACACCGGUUGAGGACAGGGAGAGACGAUGAUGGGGUAGCUAGCAAUCACCGGGCGGCAUCCCCCACGGCCGGCCAGGUGGUCUAGGCGGCGUCCCCGACGGCCGAGGCCAGACGAGGCGAUGGGUGGGGGCGACACGGAGAUGUGAG